rnacentral:rRNA from 1 species
CCUACGGGUGGCUGCAGUGGGGAAUAUUGCACAAUGGGGGAAACCCUGAUGCAGCGACGCCGCGUGAGUGAAGAAGUAUUUCGGUAUGUAAAGCUCUAUCAGCAGGGAAGAAAAAAAGUCCUUUGGACUUUGGACGGUACCUGACCAAGAAGCCCCGGCUAACUACGUGCCAGCAGCCGCGGUAAUACGUAGGGGGCAGGCGUUAUCCGGAUUGACGCGGGGGAAAGGGAGCGUAGACGGGAUCGCAAGUCUGGAGGGAAAUGCCGGGGCCCAACCCCGGAACUGCUUUGGAAACUGUGCAGCUGGAGUGCAGGAGAGGUAAGCGGAAUUCCUAGUGUAGCGGUGAAAUGCGUAGAUAUUAGGAGGAACACCAGUGGCGAAGGCGGCUUACUGGACUGUAACUGACGUUGAGGCUCGAAAGCGUGGGGAGCAAACAGGAUUAGAUACCCUGGUAGUC